SUNCGAGUCUGCGUUCCAUUAGCUAGUAGGUGGGGUAAUGGCCUACCUAGGCGACGAUGGUUAGCGGGUCUGAGAGGAUGAUCCGCCACACUGGCACUGGAAUACGGGCCAGACUCCUACGGGAGGCAGCAGUGAGGAAUAUUGCGCAAUGGGGGCAACCCUGACGCAGCGACGCCGCGUGAGUGAGGAAGGCCUUCGGGUCGUAAAGCUCUGUCAAGAGGGAAGAAGUGCAUGGUGGUUAAUAUCUGUCAUGUUUGACGGUACCUCUAAAGGAAGCACCGGCUAACUCCGUGCCAGCAGCCGCGGUAAU
rnacentral:rRNA from 1 species